GUGCCAGCAGCCGCGGUAAUAUCGGCAGCUCAAGUGAUGUCCCAUAUUAUUGGGCCUAAAGCGUCCGUAGCUGGCCGACCAAGUCUCCCGGGAAAUCCACCCGCCCAACGGGUGGGCGUCCGACGGAAACUGCACAGCUUGGGACCGGAAGGCUCGAAGGGUACGUUCGGGGUAGGAGUGAAAUCCCAUAAUCCCGCACGGACCACCGAUGGCGAAAGCACUUCGAGAAAACGGAUCCGACAGUGAGGGACGAAAGCUAAGAUCGCGAACCGGAUUAGAUACCCGAGUAGUCC
rnacentral:rRNA from 1 species